AGUGAACGCUGGCGGUAGGCCUAACACAUGCAAGUCGAACGGCAGCACAGUAAGAGCUUGCUCUUACGGGUGGCGAGUGGCGGACGGGUGAGGAAUACAUCGGAAUCUACUUUUUCGUGGGGGAUAACGUAGGGAAACUUACGCUAAUACCGCAUACGACCGACGGGUGAAAGCAGGGGAUCUUCGGACCUUGCGCGAUUGAAUGAGCCGAUGUCGGAUUAGCUAGUUGGCGGGGUAAAGGCCCACCAAGGCGACGAUCCGUAGCUGGUCUGAGAGGAGGGGCAGCGACACAUGAACUGAGAGACGGUCCAGACUCCUAUGGGAGGCAGAAGUGGGGAAUAUUGGACACUGGGCGCAAGCCUGAGCCAGACAUACCGCGUGGGUGAAGAAGGCCUUCGGGUUGUAAAGACCUUUUGUCGGGAAAGAAAAGCAGCAGGUUAAGACCCCGCUGUUCGGCCGGAACCAAAAGAAGAAGCACCGGCUACCUUCGG
rnacentral:rRNA from 1 species